rnacentral:rRNA from 1 species
UACGUAGGGGGGCAAGCGUUGUCCGGAUUUAUUGGGCGUAAAGAGCGUGUAGGCGGCCAGACAGGUCCGUUGUGAAAACUCGAGGCUCAACCUCGAGAUGUCGAUGGAAACCGUCUGGCUAGAGUCCGGAAGAGGAGUGUGGAAUUCCUGGUGUAGCGGUGAAAUGCGCAGAUAUCAGGAGGAACACCGAUGGCGAAGGCAGGUCUCUGGGCAUUAACUGACGCUAAGGCGCGAAAGCGUGGGGAGCGAACAGG